rnacentral:rRNA from 1 species
GAUCCUGGCUCAGGAUGAACGCUAGCGGCAGGCUUAACACAUGCAAGUCGAGGGGCAUCGGGUCUAGCAAUAGAUGCCGGCGACCGGCGAAAGGGUGAGUAACGCGUGAGCAACGUGCCCGUAUGUGGGGGAUAGUCGAUGGAAACGUCGCGUAAUACCCCGUAACACAGGUUCCCGCAUGGGGAUUUGUUGAAAGAUUGAUUGCAUACGGAUCGGCUCGCGUGCCAUUAGGUAGACGGCGGGGUAACGGCCCACCGUGCCGACGAUGGCUAGGGGUUCUGAGAGGAAGGUCCCCCACAUUGGAACUGAGACACGGUCCAGACUCCUACGGGAGGCAGCAGUGAGGAAUAUUGGACAAUGGCCGGAAGGCUGAUCCAGCCAUGCCGCGUGCGGGAGGACGGCCCUAUGGGUUGUAAACCGCUUUUGCGGGGGAGCAAUAAGUGUUACGUGUAACACGAUGAGAGUACCCUGCGAAUAAGCAUCGGCUAACUCCGUGCCAGCCGCGGC